GGGGAAUUUUCCGCAAUGGGCGAAAGCCUGACGGAGCAAUACCGCGUGAGGGAGGAAGGCUCUUGGGUUGUAAACCUCUUUUCUCAGGGAAUAAGAACUGAAGGUACUUGAGGAAUCAGCAUCGGCUAACUCCGUGCCAGCAGCCGCGGUAAGACGGAGGAUGCAAGCGUUAUCCGGAAUUAUUGGGCGUAAAGCGUCCGUAGGUGGUUAUAAAAGUCUGUUGUUAAAGCCCACAGCUCAACUGUGGAUCGGCAAUGGAAACUGUAUGACUUGAGUGUGGUAGGGGUAGAGGGAAUUCCUAGUGUAGCGGUGAAAUGCGUAGAUAUUAGGAAGAACACCAGUGGCGAAGGCGCUCUACUGGGCCAUAACUGACACUGAUGGACGAAAGCUAGGGGAGCGAAAGGGAUUAGAUACCCCUGUAGUC
rnacentral:rRNA from 1 species